rnacentral:rRNA from 1 species
GACGAGGGAUCCUAGCGUUGCUCGGAAUCAUUGGGCGUAAAGCGGGUGUAGGUGGCUUGGUAAGUCGGGUGUGAAAGCCCAGGGCUCAACCCUGGAAGUGCAUUCGAUACUGCUGAGCUUGAGUGCGAGAGAGGUUAAUAGAAUACCUGGUGUAGUGGUGAAAUACGUAGAUAUCAGGUGGAACACCGGUGGCGAAGGCGGCCUUCUGGACAGUGACUGACGCUGAGACGCGAAAGCGUGGGGAGCAAACAGG